rnacentral:sRNA from 1 species
CAGGCGUCAAUAUUGCAUCAAUAAUUGCAUCGACAUUGAUCUUGGGAUUGAUUUUAUUCUCAUUCUAGUUUCGCCUACUGGGACUGAGGACUUUGACUUCUAUCCAAAAAAUAUGGUGAUUGGUUUUAAAAGAAGCAAUGAUACUAACAAUACAGAUAUAAGAGUUCCAAUUUAUGGGAAAGUAAACAAAUUCAAAUCAAUAAUGAAAAUUACAGAUGAAAAUGGAGUAUCAAACAUAGAAAGCAUUAAACUCUUGUUGACUAAAAGACAUUGUGUAGAUGAAAUUUACUCGGCAAUAACAUUAUUUCGAUGUAUAAGAGAAUUCAUCACUGAUAUAAGCAGUUCAUAUUGUAGACCUUCAAAAAACUUGAACAAAUGUUGUGGCUGUUUUCAUGGUAGCUGCUUAUCAAAGAAAUGUUGUUCCGUUGAUCAUCCAAUCUGUUUUCCAUUUAUCCGUUUAUACUUUGGGAAGUUUGUGUUUGGUCUCCUUUUUCUAAUAGUUAUUAUUCCGUACGUUGUCCUUCUCAGUAGUCAUUACAAUGAAUCCAACACAUUGUGCUCUGCAUUUAAAACUAAAAGCUUGAGCUGUCCAUUUUAUGCAAAAGAACCCGAUCAUUUAUUUCUUUUUAUCUGCUGUGCU